CUUUAUUCAGGAGCAUCGAAAUAGGCAUAGGGGCCGAGCAGUUAGCUUGUGCCUGUAAUUCCAGCACUUAUGGAGGCCAAGGCGGUAGAGAGGGUCUCACUCUGUCACCCAGGCUGGAGUGCAGUGGUGUGAUGAUCAUAGCUCACUGAAGCCUCGGCCUUCUGGGCUCAAGCGAUUCUCCCACCUCAGCCUCUUGAGUAGCUGGGACUACAGGCAUGUGCCACCAUACCUGGCUAAUUUUUUUAAUUAAUAUUUUUUGACAAAUACUGCAUUACUGUACUUAUAUCAGGCACCUGGAAGAGUCAAGUUCAUAGAGACAGAAAGCAGAAUAGGGGUUACCGGGGGCUAGGAAGAGGGGGUAACAGCAAGUCAUUGUUGAAUGGGUACAGAGUUUCAGUUUAAAUGAUGAAAAAGUUCUAAAGACAGAAUAGUGGUGAUGGUUGUGCAAUGAUGUGAAUGUACUUAAUGAUAUUGAACUGUACAUUUAAAAAUAGUUAAAAUGGGCUGGGCGCGGUAGCUCACGCCUGUAAUCCCAGCACUUUGGGAGGCCGAGGUGGGUGGAUCACGAGGUCAGGAGAUCGAGACCGUCCUCGCUAACAUGGUGAAACCCCGUCUACUAAAAGUACAAAAAAAAAAACAUUAGCU
rnacentral:lncRNA from 10 species